GGUGUGUUCUAGGAUUGCCCGAUACAGCUUGGGAAUUGAGUCAUAACAGUCAUAACUGUUUUCACAGUGCUCUAGCUGGCAGCCCUGCCAGAUGGCCUUUAUCGCUCCUCUUUGGAAUCGUCUCCUUAUUGGCUAACGAGAUAUCAGGGUCUCACUACUUACUACUGGCUGGCCCAACUGCCAAACAAACGGAGGGUGUUCCGGAUAUUGGCUUCUAAGCUGUCUAUCUCUGCUCUAGGGGCACAUAUUAGCUCAAGUGAAGCCUGGACUACAAAUAUGACACCGACGUGUAGUUCGUCAACUGGGAAGUGAGAGCCGGAAAAAAAAUGGAUGGGAGUGAACUCCUGUUUACAGUCUUCGAUCAGAAAAAUAACUAUUGUGAGGCGAGCAAAGCAAUUUGGAUUAAAAGGCUUAGAUAUUUCUUGGACCCUUGGGGAUUUAUGAAAAAAUAUUGGGUUUUGGUAAUAUUACCGUAAUAUUACCCCAGGGAAGCGAGGGAAAAGUUUAAAAGAACUCUUGAAUAGACCAAAGAGAACGAUGCCUCCUGAGCCCACUUCCCUGACGGUGGUCCCUGAACCCACCUCCUUGACGAUGCUCCCUGAGUGCACCUCCUUAACGAUGCUCCCUGAGCCCACCUCUUAACGAUGCUUUCUGAGCCCACCUCUCUAAACGCACCUCAUGAUGCUCCCUAAGACCACCUCCUUAACGAUGCUCCCUGAGGCCCACCUCCCUGAGCACACCUCCUUAAUGAUGCUUCCUGAGCGCACCUCCUUAACGAUGCUCACUGAGCACAUCUAUCUAAACUCACCUUCUAAACAAUUCUUUAGACUAUUUUCAGAUUUUUUAUUAUCUGUGUGUGCAGUUGCUUUUCUUAAAAACUUCUAGAAACAGUCCAAUACGGAAUCCAGCCCUAAAAGAGGGCGCAUUAAACUUGCAUUAUAUGAGAGGCUUUGACCAUGAUUCAGGGUUUCAUCUAUGACAUGCUUUUGUUGUGUACCAAAAAGUUAUACUAAACUCAAUUAAAACCAUUAUAUUCAUUUAUUCAUUCA